AUGAGGAUGAUAAUGAUGGCAAUGAGGGUGAUGAUGUGGAUGAAUAGGAUAUGGGUGGUAGUAAUAUUGAUGAUGAUGGUGAUGAUGAUAAGGCAGAUGUUGAGGAUGAAUAGGAAAUGGGUGGUAGUAAUAUUGAUGAUGAUGAUGAUAAGGCAGAUGAUGAGGAUGAAUAGGAUAUGGGAGGCAGUAAUAUUGAUGAUGAUGAUAAGGCAGAUGUUGAGGAUGAAUAGGAUAUGGGUGGUAGUAAUAUUGAUGAUGAUAAGGCAGAUGUUGAGGAUGAAUAGGAUAUGGGUGGUAGUAAUAUGGAUGAUGAUGAUAAGGCAGAUGUUGAGGAUGAAUAGGAUAUGGGUGGUAGUAAUAUUGAUGAUGAUGAUAAGGCAGAUGUUGAGGAUGAAUAGGAUAUGGGUGGUAGUAAUAUUGAUGAUGAUAAGGCAGAUGUUGAGGAUGAAUAGGAUAUGGGUGGUAGUAAUAUUGAUGAUGAUGAUAAGGCAGAUGUUGAGGAUGAAUAAGAUAUGGGUGGUAGUAAUAUUGAUGAUGAUGAUAAGGCAGAUGUUGAGGAUGAAUAGGAUAUGGGUGGUAGUAAUAUUGAUGAUGAUGAUGGUGAUGAUGAUGAUAAGGCAGAUGUUGAGGAUGAAUAGGAUAUGGGUGGCAGUAAUAUUGAUGAUGAUGAUAAGGCAGAUGUUGAGGAUGAAUAGGAUAUGGGUGGCAGUAAUAUUGAUGAUGAAAAUGAUGAUGUCCGAACUAUAA
rnacentral:lncRNA from 1 species